CCCUUAGAUGUUCUGGGCCGCACGCGCGCUACACUGAUGCAUUCAACGAGCCUAUCCUUGACCGACAGGUCCGGGUAAUCUUUGAAUCUGCAUCGUGACGGGGAUAGAUUAUUGCAAUUAUUAAUCUUCAACGAGGAAUGCCUAGUAGGCGCAAGUCAUCAGCUUGCGUCGAUUACGUCCCUGCCCUUUGUACACACCGCCCGUCGCUCCUACCGAUUGGGUGUGCUCGUGAAAUGUUCGGAUCGGCCGUUUGUCGCGGUUUCCGCGUCAUGUGGCUGAGAAGUUCAUUAAACCCUCCCACCUAGAGGAAGGAGAAGUCGUAACA
rnacentral:rRNA from 1 species